GUGAAUCAUCAAAUUUUUGAACGCAAAUUGCACUUUCUGGUAUUCCGGAAAGUAUGCCUGUUUGAGGGUCAGUAUUCAUAAAAAAUCGGUUUAGGUGCAAAUUGUCCCGUUUCCGGAGCUUGCGCUAUCUUGACAUUUUUGGUUAAGAGGCUUAAAAUUGACCUUUUUUGCGCAUUUUUAAACGUACAUAAAUUUUUUUUAUUCGUCGAUUCUUAGUGCCAAAAUCGUAUUAGAUCCGAUCACAUCGUGUGGCUU
rnacentral:misc_RNA from 1 species